CAAGAUUAAGCCAUGCAUGUCUAAGUCCAAGCUGUGCUUGUCACGGCGAGACCGCGGACGGCUCAUUAAAUCAGUCGUGGUCCAGAUGGGCCAGUUUUGAACCUACUUGGAUAACUGUGGUAAUUCCAGAGCUAAUACAUGCAACCCUUAUCCUGAUGGCGUCGCUCUCUCUUGCAGGGCAGCGAUCGUCCUGACGGAUGCUUUUAUUAGACCAAACCGCUGAGGGCAGUGCGUGUUCGCUUUGCGGGCCGCACCGCUUGACUCGUUUAAUGGUGACUCUGGAUAACCUUUUUGACAAGCGCACGUACCCACUCCUUUGGGCGGGACGGCGCUGCCACUUUCGAGUGUCUGCCUUAUCAGCUAUCAACCGUUCGUUAUGUGCGACCGAUGGCUUUGACGGGUAACGGGGAAUCAGGGUUCGAUUCCGGAGAGGCAGCCUGAGAAACGGCUACCACGUCCAAGGAAGGCAGCAGGCA
rnacentral:rRNA from 1 species